UGCAAACCCUGCGGUUGCUCGGAGAAGAAAAUUCGGAGAUCCAGAUAACCCUGUUGCCAAAGUCACAACAAGAAAUGCAAACACCUCGAUUUUUUCAGAGAAGUUGCAGGUAUUUCCUGGAUGGUUCCAACUGCCAAUAAAAAAGAAAGAAGAAAAAAAGCAGCUUGUGGGUAAGAGAGAACAGCAGCUCCUUUCAAGAAAAACUCUGUGGAAGAGAGCAAAAGAAGAAACCAGAGUUUGAUGAGAUGUGACUGAACCAAGUGACGCUUAAAACCAGUUCCAGCGGACAGCAGUUUUAAGGGGGUGUCAAGACAUGUAACCAUUUCCCAAUUCUCAUCUCAAACCCUACUUUGCUAUGGUCCCAGAGCCCAGGGACUCCAAGCCCACCCCACCCCCACCCCUG
rnacentral:lncRNA from 1 species